rnacentral:rRNA from 1 species
UGGGGAAUCUUGGACAAUGGGGGCAACCCUGAUCCAGCCAUGCCGCGUGAGUGAUGAAGGCCUUAGGGUCGUAAAGCUCUUUCGCCUGUGAAGAUAAUGACGGUAGCAGGUAAAGAAACCCCGGCUAACUCCGUGCCAGCAGCCGCGGUAAUACGGAGGGGGUUAGCGUUGUUCGGAAUUACUGGGCGUAAAGCGCACGUAGGCGGACCAGAAAGUUGGGGGUGAAAUCCCGGGGGCUCAACCCCGGAACUGCCUCCAAAACUAUUGGUCUAGAGUUCGAGAGAGGUGAGUGGAAUUCCAAGUGUAGAGGUGAAAUUCGUAGAUAUUCGGAGGAACACCAGUGGCGAAGGCGGCUCACUGGCUCGAUACUGACGCUGAGGUGCGAAAGCGUGGGGGAGCAAACAGGAUUAGAUACCCUGGUAGUCCACACCGUAAACGAUGAAUGCCAGUCGUCGGGUAGCAUGCUAUUCGGUGACACACCUAACGGAUUAAGCAUUCCGCCUGGGGAGUACGGUCGCAGAUUAAAA